rnacentral:rRNA from 1 species
CCUACGGGAGGCAGCAGUGGGGAAUAUUGGGCAAUGGGCGCAAGCCUGACCCAGCAACGCCGCGUGAAGGAUGAAGGCCCUCGGGUUGUAAACCUCUUUUAAGAGGGAAGAGCAGUAGACGAUGUAUAUUGAAUAAGCUACGCCUAACUACGUGCCAGCAGCCGCGGUAAUACGAAGGUGGCAAGCGUUGUCCGGAUUCACUGGGUGUAAAGGGCGUGUAGGCGGGCUGAUAAGUCAGAUGUGAAAGCCGGGGGCUCAACCGCCGAACUGCAUUUGAUACUGUCAGUCUUGAGUAUAGGAGAGGCAGGCGGAAUUCGUGGUGUAGCGGUGAAAUGCGUAGAUAUUAGGAAGAACACCAGUUGCGAAGGCAGCCUGCUGGACUGUAACUGACGCUGAUGCGCGAAAGCGUGGGGAGCAAACAGGAUUAGAUACCCGGGUAGUC